CUCGCUAUGUGGCAGGAGGCGGGGUAAGACGGAGGGGGCAAGGGGUGGCCGGAGUUAUGGGGCGUAAGGAGCGUGGAGGCGGCCAGGCAUGUCCGCUGUGAAAACGCGAUGGCUGAUCCUCGAGACUUCGGUGGAAACCGCCUGGCUAGAGUCCGGAAGAGGAGAGUGGAAUUCCUGGUGUAGCGGUGAAAUGCGCAGAUAUCAGGAAGAACACCCGUGGCGAAGGCGGCUCUCUGGGACGGUACUGACGCUGAGACGCGAAAGCGUGGGGAGCGAACAGGAUUAGAUACCCCAGUAGUC
rnacentral:rRNA from 1 species